AUUGAACGCUGGCGGCAUGCCUUACACAUGCAAGUCGAACGGUAACAGGUUAAGCUGACGAGUGGCGAACGGGUGAGUAAUGUAUCGGAACGUGCCCAGUUGUGGGGGAUAACUGCUCGAAAGAGCAGCUAAUACCGCAUACGACCUGAGGGUGAAAGCGGGGGAUCGCAAGACCUCGCGCAAUUGGAGCGGCCGAUAUCAGAUUAGGUAGUUGGUGGGGUAAAGGCUCACCAAGCCGACGAUCUGUAGCUGGUCUGAGAGGACGACCAGCCACACUGGGACUGAGACACGGCCCAGACUCCUACGGGAGGCAGCAGUGGGGAAUUUUGGACAAUGGGCGCAAGCCUGAUCCAGCCAUGCCGCGUGCGGGAAGAAGGCCUUCGGGUUGUAAACCGCUUUUGUCAGGGAAGAAACGCUCUGGGUUAAUACCCUGGGGUAAUGACGGUACCUGAAGAAUAAGCACCGGCUAACUACGUGCCAGCCGCCGCCGUAA
rnacentral:rRNA from 1 species